rnacentral:rRNA from 1 species
UACGUAGGGGGCGAGCGUUGUCCGGAAUUAUUGGGCGUAAAGAGCGUGUAGGCGGUUCGGUAAGUCUGUCGUGAAAACCCGGGGCUCAACCCCGGGCGUGCGGUGGAUACUGCCGGGCUAGAGGAUGGUAGAGGCGAGUGGAAUUCCCGGUGUAGCGGUGAAAUGCGCAGAUAUCGGGAGGAACACCAGUAGCGAAGGCGGCUCGCUGGGCCAUUCCUGACGCUGAGACGCGAAAGCUAGGGGAGCGAACAGG